rnacentral:rRNA from 1 species
AUUGAACGCUGGCGGCAGGCCUAACACAUGCAAGUCGAGCGAGCGGCGGACGGGUGAGUAAUGUAUGGGGACUGCCCGAUAGAGGGGGAUAACUACUGGAAAAGGUGGCUAAUACCGCAUACUAUCGGAUAACCCAUAUGGGAUGAGCUAGUAGGUGGGGUAAAGGCUCACCUAGGCGACGAUCUCUAGCUGGUCUGAGAGGAGGAUCAGCCACACUGGGACUGCGACACGGCCCAGACUCCAACGGAGGCAGCAGGGGGGAAUAUUGAACAAGGGUGGCAAGCCUGAUGCAGCCAGGCCGCGUGUAUGAAUAAGGCCUUAGGGUUGUAAAGUACUUUCAGCGGGGAGGCGUUACCCGAAGAAGAAGCACCGGCUAACUCCGGGCCAGCCGCCGCGGUAAUAC